rnacentral:rRNA from 1 species
AUUGAACGCUGGCGGCAGGCCUAACACAUGCAAGUCGAACGGUAACAGGAAGAAGCUUGCUUCUUUGCUGACGAGUGGCGGACGGGUGAGUAGUGUCUGGGAGACUGCCUGAUGGAGGGGGAUAACUACUGGAAACGGUAGCUAAUACCGCAUAACGUCGCAAGACCAAAGAGGGGGACCUUCGGGCCUCUUGCCAUCGGAUGUGCCCAGAUGGGAUUAGCUAGUAGGUGGGGUAACGGCUCACCUAGGCGACGAUCCCUAGCUGGUCUGAGAGGAUGACCAGCCACACUGGAACUGAGACACGGUCCAGACUCCUACGGGAGGCAGCAGUGGGGAAUAUUGCACAAUGGGCGCAAGCCUGAUGCAGCCAUGCCGCGUGUAUGAAGAAGGCCUUCGGGUUGUAAAGUACUUUCAGCGGGGAGGAAGGGAGUAAAGUUAAUACCUUUGCUCAUUGACGUUACCCGCAGAAGAAGCACCGGCUAACUCCGUG